GGCUGCAACAACCCCGUGAGUGGUUUUUUCCUGGUUUUUGGAUUUUUUCCGGUUUCAGGGGAGAAAUCCAGACCAAAAAGGCGCAUUCACUGCAGCC
rnacentral:sRNA from 1 species